rnacentral:rRNA from 1 species
AUUGAACGCUGGCGGCAUGCUUUACACAUGCAAGUCGAGCGGUAACAGGCCUUCGGGUGCUGACGAGUGGCGAACGGGUGAGUAAUGCAUCGGAACGUACCCAGAGGUGGGGGAUAACGCAGCGAAAGCUGUGCUAAUACCGCAUGUGAUCUGAGGAUGAAAGCGGGGGACCGAGCAGCAAUGUUUGGCCUCGCGCCUUUGGAGCGGCCGAUGUCGGAUUAGCUAGUUGGUGGGGUAAAGGCCUACCAAGGCGACGAUCCGUAGCUGGUCUGAGAGGACGACCAGCCACACUGGGACUGAGACACGGCCCAGACUCCUACGGGAGGCAGCAGUGGGGAAUUUUGGACAAUGGGCGCAAGCCUGAUCCAGCAAUGCCGCGUGCGGGAAGAAGGCCUUCGGGUUGUAAACCGCUUUUGGCAGGAACGAAACGGUGCCCGCUAAUACCGGGCGCUAAUGACGGUACCUGCAGAAUAAGCACCGGCUAACUACGUG